CGACCGCGACCCCAGGUCAGGCGGGACCACCCGCUGAGUUUAA
rnacentral:rRNA from 1 species